rnacentral:rRNA from 1 species
CCUACGGGUGGCAGCAGUGAGGAAUAUUGGUCAAUGGACGAGAGCCUGAACCAGCCAAGUAGCGUGAAGGAUGACUGCCCUCUGGGUUGUAACCCUCUUUUAUAAAGGCAUAAAACGUGGCACGUGUACCUUUUUGCAUGUACUUUAUGAAUAAGGAUCGGCUAACUCCGUUCCCGCAGCCGCGGUAAUACUGAGGAUCCGAGCGUUAUCCGGAUUUAUUGGGUUUAAAGGGAGCGUAGGGGGGUUGUUAAGUCAGUUGUGAAAGUUUGGGGCUCAACCGUAAAAAUGCAAUUGAUACUGGCAGUCUUGAGUACAGUUGAGGUAGGCGGAAUGCGUGGUGUAGCGGGGAAAUGCAUAGAUAUAACGAAGAACCCCGAUUGCGAAGGCAGCUUACUAAACUGUGACUGACGUUGAUGCUCGAAAGUGUGGGGAGCAAACAGGAUUAGAUACCCGGGUAGUC